rnacentral:rRNA from 1 species
GACGAACCGAGCGAACGUUGUUCGGAAUCACUGGGCUUAAAGGGCGCGUAGGCGGGUACUCAAGUCUGUGGUGAAAUCCUCCGGCUCAACCGGAGAACUGCCAUGGAUACUGGGUGUCUCGAGGGUGGUAGGGGUAUGCGGAACUAUCGGUGGAGCGGUGAAGUGCGUUGAUAUCGAUAGGAACUCCGGUGGCGAAGGCGGCAUACUGGACCACUUCUGACGCUGAGGCGCGAAAGCCAGGGGAGCAAACGGG